GAUAAACUGUUAACAGGAAAGGCCUGGGAGCUGCUGGACUCGCAGAGCCCAAUCCCAGGUGAGGGCAGGCGCGUGGCGGCCUCUGGCCUCCAGGACGCUGAUCUAAGGUCAGGUCCCCGGCCCCGCUCUGAGGGCUCCAGGAGCAGGGCCCCGUGAGGCCCGGAAGGUACCAGAUGCCUAGGGAUCGAGUGGGACAAACAUUCUCAGGUCCUCCUCCUGCAUCAUCUUGAUCUUGUUUGAAAGGCUCUGAGACUGGCCAGGAGUCUGCUGUGUUUCUCACACCCCUACAGGUGACACCACAGCCCUGCUCCCAGCACGUCCUCCCUCCCUGCCUGCUGCUCCCUGCUGGGCUCCUGGAUGGAGGGAGAAGAGAACAACUCGGAUAGAGACAGAGCCGGACAUGUGUGCUGGUAAAGGGAAAGUGGGGUGUGUGUCCUCAAGAAAGGGAAGGGCUGCCUUAGGGAAGAGGCCUGAGUGGCCCUGUGGGCUGUCAGACUGGUGACCUCAGUCUCUUGCUGGCUGUGGGUCGGGCACUACCUCAGCUCCUUGCCACGUGGGCCUUCCCAGCGCAGCUGCUGGCUGCACCAGAGCUUGUGGGCAGUGUGGACAGUAGCGGUCAGCUACCAGGAUGUGGUCAUGCUCUUCUAGGGUCUGAUCACAGGGGUGAUGUCUCCGUUGUCACAUUAUAUUGGUUAGAAGCAAGUCCCAGGUCCCACACUCCUGAGGGGGAGAUUCCACAACGUGUGACUCCCAGGGGGCAGGGAUGGUUGGGCACCACCUCAGAGUCUGUCUGCACAGGGAUGUCCCAGGUCAGAGAGAGCAGGAACACCAGGCAGUGCGGCCUCUGCCCUGGACGUGUUCAUACACGGGCCGCACAUCACUGAACACUCACUGUCACUGCGGGUCCACGUUGGACAAGAUGACCUGCAGGACUGAGCUGUGUUCACAGAGCACCGUCCUGGAUACAAGCAUCAAAGUUUCCGUUGGAAGGUUUCUCUCCGGUUCUGUGUGAACCUGAGAGAGGGUCCUCUCUGAAUAUUUCCCUCUGAAUUUUCAGGUCUCCUACAUCUUGGGAAAGAUCUAUCACUAAAAUGAACUAUAUUUUUCUUUAUUUGUCAUCCUGUCAGCAGAUCCUGGGCUCCCACUAUUCCUUCCAUCUUGCUGUCAUACAAGAUCCCACAGAGUCCCUUUGGUGAUUUUACUUUGCUGGUGUUGUAAGCAGGCAGAGCAGGGGGUCUCCAGAGGAGAUGAGUCAGGUACAGCCUUUUCACAUAAGAGAAGCUGUUUGAGACCUGAGCCAUUUUAUGAUCUAAGCCUGGUCACAUGCUUGCCCUGAUAAUGAAGUUAAGGGAACAGAAAAAGGAGUGACUGAUCCCAGGGAAGAGAAGUAACAACAGCUUACAUAAUAACCCGGAUAAUAAAGACCCCAGAUCUAUGUCAAUGGUAAAAUGGGCCUGAAGCACUUUCUUGAGGGUUUUGCAGAACUUCAAGCCCCAGCGGGCGCUCAACCUCCACGUGACCUGGAACCUUGGGGAUGAUGCUGCUGACCUUUAUGAACCCAGAGACCACCAUCUACUUAAACUUGGACUUUGUUGCCAUUUGCCCCAAUUCUAUACUGAAUUUUCCUCUGCGUAAGCCCCUUCAGUUGUGCCCUUAGCUUAAAACCUCCCCAACUUGGCUGUUUGGGGAGACACUGCUUUGGGAAGAUGCAGCGCGUUCUCUUCAAUUGCUGCAAGUAAUUCAGGCUCUUCCACCCCAGUGCGAACUCUUGGUGUUUCACUCACUGAGGCCCAGCAGAGAGCCCGACAUCCAGGAUAAAACAAUUACUAAAUGAGUGUGGGGUUUUGUUUCGUCCUUCAACGUUCAUUUCAAUGGAUUAAUACAUGUGCAAGGUUGAAAAAAUUCCUAUGACGUAAAGGAUAAACAGUGAAAAUUACAUUUCUGGCUUCAUCCUAUUCAUAAUUCUUCCAAAUUUCCUCUGAGGACAAGGUGACUGUUACCAGUCUCAACAGUGGUAUAGAGAUUCCAUUGUAUCUGCUGUAUUUACCACACAUUCUCUCUGAACCUUUGUUAACAAUUAACAAUAUAUUCUGAGAUUAUGCCAUUUUUAAAAUAUAAUUAUGGUUCAGGUCAAGAUAAUUUUAAUAACAAUUCUGCACUUCUGAUUUUUAAAAAUGUAUGUAUAGCAAAAGUCAUCUCUCUCCCACUCUAGUGGAGUUUUUUCCUGGGCUCUGUCUCCCAG